GUUGGAGCCGGAAGCGCCCGCCGGGGCUGGAGGUCUCUGAGGAUGGAAGGCGAGAUGGAGGCGCAGAGCGCCGGGGCCGAGGAGGGCUUCACCCAGGUCAUCCGCAAGGGUGGCCGGCGGGCUAAGAAACGACAGGCUGAUCAGCUGUCUGCAGCAGGGGAGGGCGUGGACGCGGGCCGCUUGGACACAGAGGAGGCCCGGCCGGCGAAGAGGCCCGUCUUCCCGCCUCUGUCCGGGGACGGGCUCCUGAGUGGGAAAGAAGAAACAAGGAAAAUUCCAGUCCCAGCGAACAGAUACACACCAUUAAAAGAAAACUGGAUGAAGAUAUUUACUCCUAUAGUAGAACAUUUGGGACUUCAGAUACGCUUUAACUUGAAAUCAAGGAAUGUAGAAAUCAGGACUUGUAAAGAAAUCAAGGAUGUUAGUGCUCUGACAAAAGCAGCUGAUUUUGUGAAAGCCUUUAUUCUUGGGUUUCAGGUGGAGGAUGCCCUUGCCCUCAUCAGGUUGGAUGAUCUCUUCCUAGAGUCUUUUGAAAUUACAGAUGUUAAGCCUCUAAAGGGAGACCAUCUGUCGAGAGCAAUAGGAAGAAUUGCUGGUAAAGGAGGAAAAACUAAAUUUACCAUAGAGAAUGUAACUCGGACUCGGAUAGUUUUGGCUGAUGUGAAAGUUCACAUCCUUGGCUCUUUCCAAAACAUCAAAAUGGCAAGAACUGCCAUUUGCAACCUCAUCCUGGGAAAUCCUCCAUCAAAGGUUUAUGGCAAUAUUCGGGCUGUGGCUAGCAGAUCAGCAGACCGAUUCUGAUUUCAAAUCAGAGACUUUUUGUCUUUGGACUCUAAGAAAAGACUUUACACUCUACAGCCGGUCACAAGAAACCAUGUGAAGAAUUUCAGUCACUUCGAGCCUUGGUCACUUCUUCCAUUCUCUUCCAGAGCAUAAACAGAAAGGAAAGGUUUUGUAGUAUUCACAUUCAGCAUCUUUUAAGAGUAUUUAAAUAUCAAAAUCUAAUAUCAUUAUUAUACUUACACAUUAGGUAUAAUUUAUAUUUUUUUUCAUUUAUAUUGUAUGUAGCAGAUCUACAUAGUUUGUAAUCCUCUCAUUUGGAGGUAAACUAGCUGAAACAGUUCUGUAUGAAUUUAUAAGUUUUUAUUUAUGAAUUUAUAAAAUGUUAUAAAUUUUAUAAAUUUAUAAAUAUUUCUUCUUUAUAUAUUAUAAUUAAAAGGAUCAUCUCAGAAAACCUCUCUAUGAAACUUGUCCCUUUUUAAAUACUGUGUGGUGUGUGAGCAUUUUAGUAUGAGAUCAUAAAUAGCAGUUUUAGCUGUACUGUAUGAAUUAAUAAGGGCUAACCUUUAUACCUGUUUUGCAGUUUUUAAAAUUAAAGACCUACAUCACAAGGUUGACAUAAGGAGU